AACGCGAAGAACCUUACCUACCCUUGACAUGUCAGGAAGUCCGCAGAGAUGUGGAUGUGCUCGAAAGAGAACCUGAACACAGGUGCUGCAUGGCUGUCGUCAGCUCGUGUCGUGAGAUGUUGGGUUAAGUCCCGCAACGAGCGCAACCCUUGUCAUUAGUUGCUACGAAAGGGCACUCUAAUGAGACUGCCGGUGACAAACCGGAGGAAGGUGGGGAUGACGUCAAGUCCUCAUGGCCCUUAUGGGUAGGGCUUCACACGUCAUACAAUGGUCGGUACAGAGGGCUGCCAACCCGCGAGGGGGAGCUAAUCCUUUAAAACCGAUCGUAGUCCGGAUUGUAGUCUGCAACUCGACUGCAUGAAGUCGGAAUCGCUAGUAAUCGCGGAUCAGAAUGUCGCGGUGAAUACGUUCCCGGGUCUUGUACACACCGA
rnacentral:rRNA from 1 species